ACUGGCAAAGUGGGGGAGGUAACCACAGGGUUUACGCGCCCCCAACCAUGAACGUCACGUCGCCUAACGCAACACAUUCAUUUCCUCUUUGUUGACUGAUUAUGUGUUCAAGGUCAAAACACCCUUGUGCAUGUCUGCCCUACCUUACGCUGUUCCGUUUUCUAACAAGCACUCAACACGCCUCGUACCAAAGAGGUGGAAAUCAGACUCCCAGGCGCCGCAGUGAAUUUGGCCGGGAGAUACUGCAGGCGUGGUGUGGGGGAGCACGCUCAACUCAAGGCUCAAAAACCCCUGCCUGAUUCUGCCCACGCUUGAAUCUGGAGAGGUCAGCAGGGACCAACAAUCAAAUGCCUUUAAAGUCUUACUGAGGAACUUAGCCUUUACCCAGUGCACCGGGCCAUGACAAGGGGCCCACGCUUGGCUUCCAUUCAGCCUGUUUCAGUGUCCAGCCCUGAAUGGCAGGCGGUGUCCUUGUGUCCAUCGCCCACAGAGCCUCGCCCUGGCAGGUAGUGAACAAAGGUGGAGCUGGAUCGGAGGCCACGAAAAAUUUUGAGAUAUUCUUGCCUCCUGGACCUGGUAGGAGUUGCCGCAUGAGGAGGAAGUCUGAAUUCUGGAAGGAUCUAUUUCUCUUUUGGCUUCAUUCAAACCAAAUAAAUCUUUCCUUUCCUGUAAGAAAUAAACCUUUCCUUUCCCAACUUUAGGCAUCAGGUAUUUUGUCUCAGUGAUGAGUAACUAAGACAUUAGGUAUAGCAAUUAUCCAUCUCAGUGUGGGACUCACUGGGCUCCUUCCAGGCCUGGUUCCUCCUUCUCUGAGCUCUGUCCUGCUCAGUGCAUCAUUCUCUCAUCCCAAGAAAAGGGACACAACUCCAAACCCCAGCGCCGUCAGUGUCUUUUGUUGAUCCACGUGUGAGAAAGGUCCUUAUGGAAGCAGCUGGAACAUAGCUUCAAAUCCACCGUGUAUCCAAAACGUGUGGGGCCAGGGACUUAGCUCAGUGAUACAGUGCUUACCUGGUCCUGAGUUCAAUUCCUGAUACCCCAAAAACAAACAAAACAUGUUGCAUCUCUCCUCACAAACUCUCUCUCUUGGCCUGUUGACAAAUCUCUUUUUGAUAUUUACUGUGGAGAAACACAGUAGUAUGCUCUGAACUAUAGCACAAACCACUCAUUUCCAUGCAUUUCUUUUUUAAUUUCAUCCAAAACGUAUUCAGUGUUUCAGCCAAUAAUGUCCAAGGCUCUGACAAUACAAAAAAGGAAACUGAAAAGCAAAAAUAAGGUAGUUCUUGUUCACAGUUGGGAGUUCUCAGCUUUGUGGAGGGUGGACAGACCAAAGUAGAUGAUGGCUCCUCAGUGACAUGGUGAUUCGUGCAGUGUCCACUUGUUUAAACUGGAUUUUCUAAAAUUUCCUCCUCCUAUAAUGAAUGUGAUCAUAUGU